GACCGUCCGAUUAGGACCAGACUUGUAGGACAUGGUUAUUAAAAUUGAGAAACUAUAGGAACUCUCAGAUUGGUAAUUGGAAGUCAUGGACCCCACAGGGUCCCAGGUUGAUCAAUAUGGAAGUUUAUCGCUUAGCAAAUCUCGGGUCUUUUCAAACCGCUCUAACCAUCCGAAAUGCUUAAGUGGGCAUAUGAAUGACUUUAAAGUAAGUGCAC
rnacentral:lncRNA from 1 species